CCUGUUCCAGCAAUGUAAGAGGAGCUGGCUUCACCUUCACCUUCGCCAUGAUUGAAGGUUUCCUGAGGCCUCCCCAGAAGCUGAACAGAGGCCAGUAUCAUGCUUCCUGUACAGCCUGCAGAACUGCCAAUGAUUGGAUUGCAAAUGGUCAUGACUGAAUUCUGAACAUAAGAGGAAAAGUUUUCUGAGCAGUUUUGGGGAAAGUUAUCUCUCCCCUAAGCAAGAGACACAAGAAGAAACCACCCAUCUUCUAACUCUGAGCACUGUCCUCGAUGUGGCCCCUGGAGCUGCUGCCCUCAUCUUAUGCCACACCUGAGAAUGAAAUCAACACUGAGAAGCGCAUUUUGGAGAUAUGGGAAAGCCCGUGCUUGAUGACAACACUGACCUAUUGAAUCAGUCAACCUAGAGCCUCAGCUUCUAUGCUACCACAUCCACUGGAGUUAGAUGGGGAAGCAGGUUCCUCAUCAGAAUUGCUCAGGAACUCAGACUGACAGAACAGCCACCAUUCUGACCAUUGCCUGUCACUAUGCUAGAGACAUCUGCUCCCAGGCUCUCUGAGACAACAGUGAAUUCUGCUUAGAGAUGAAAUUGCACAUGAAGGAGAAUGUAGAGCAGAAUCCCUGAAACCUGAUGAUCCCUUUAAAGGAGUUUGGAGAACUUCAAGCACAGCCUCUCCACUAAACACCAUUCAACUGGAGGCCAAGGAGCCACAUUACUGAAUUACUCCUUGAAAAUAAUACAAUAGAAUAAAUGAACAAUAGAGAAACC
rnacentral:lncRNA from 10 species